AAUAGGAUAAUAAGAAUUUUAGGGAUUAAAUGAUAAAUCAUUAAAAUGAAAAAAUUUGGCGGUAUUUUAUACAAAUUAGAGGAAUCUGGGUAGUAAAUGAUAAUCCACGAUAAGAAUUACUUGAUUUAAAUAUUUAUGUAUUGUCGUAUAGAUAAGUAAAUUAAUAUUUUAUUGGUAGAAGGAAAGAUUCUUAAUAAUUCAGAUCAAAAUGUAGUAUAUGGUCAAGAAUUAACCUGGAUUACAAUAAAUUAAAUUUUUAGUUAUGGAAUUUUAAUUUUAAUAUUAAAAUGAAAGCGGAUUUAAUAGUAAUUUUAAAAAAUUUUUUAAUUUGAAUAUUGUUUUAAAAUAUGU
rnacentral:rRNA from 1 species